GAUGAACGCUGGCGGCGUGCCUAAUACAUGCAAGUCGAGCGAACGGACGAGAAGCUUGCUUCUCUGAUGUUAGCGGCGGACGGGUGAGUAACACGUGGAUAACCUACCUAUAAGACUGGGAUAACUUCGGGAAACCGGAGCUAAUACCGGAUAAUAUUUUGAACCGCAGGGUUCAAAAGUGAAAGACGGUCUUGCUGUCACUUAGAGAUGGAUCCGCGCUGCAUUAGCUAGUUGGUAAGGUAACGGCUUACCAAGGCAACGAUGCAUAGCCGACCUGAGAGGGUGAUCGGCCACACUGGAACUGAGACACGGUCCAGACUCCUACGGGAGGCAGCAGUAGGGAAUCUUCCGCAAUGGGCGAAAGCCUGACGGAGCAACGCCGCGUGAGUGAUGAAGGUCUUCGGAUCGUAAAACUCUGUUAUUAGGGAAGAACAUAUGUGUAAGUAACUGUGCACAUCUUGACGGUACCUAAUCAGAAAGCCCCGGCUAACUACGUG
rnacentral:rRNA from 1 species